UCCCAGCGCACGCCGCCGCCGGGGCCGCGCUAUUCCGAAAUUGGGUCCGCCCUCGCGUCGCCCCGGGCCUGCUCCUACGCUCUUCGCUGGUCCCUCACCUCCGCCUCCCCCCGACGCAGCCCGAGCCCAUCCGCCCCCCAGGUCGACCCGCGUUGACCUCAGGGCGAGGUCUAGGCGCUCGGCCCCACCGCAGGUUCCUAGGUCCCCGUCACUCUGCCGCCAAGUUCCCCAACACGGACUCCGUGCGCUUUGAGGUGUUACGGGGGCGCUGGAGCACUGGCUCCGCUGGCCCUGCCAGGAGGCGGGGGCGAAGCAGGGAGCGACCCGGGAUGCGUUCCUCUGGCCGGCCUGCGCCCCUGCAGCAUCCACUCCUCGCCUCUGCUGGCCUCGGCCCUCCCUCACUGCGUUCACCUGAGCCCACCCGAGCCGACAGUGGCGCUCUAAGCAACGCUGCGAGACAGGUACUGUAUUUGUCUCCAUUUUACAGAAGAGGAAACUGAGACUCAGAGGGGUUAAGGGCCUCAACUCAGGUCCCACAGUCAGCAAGUUGUGGAACUGUGAGGCAGCUGUGCUGAGCCUGUAUCCAUAGCUCUCCUCGGAUCCUUCCAUCAGCCCCUCUCCCCCACCCCUCCAGGGAGAAGCUCGGCAACGUGGAGUCGGUUUAUGUCAUCGACCCUGAAGAUGUGGCCCUUCUCUUUAAGUCCGAGGGCCCCAACCCAGAACGAUUCCUCAUCCCGCCCUGGGUCGCCUAUCACCAGUAUUACCAGAGACCCAUAGGAGUCCUGUUGAAGAAGUCGGCGGCCUGGAAGAAAGACCGGGUGGCCCUGAACCA
rnacentral:sRNA from 1 species